rnacentral:rRNA from 1 species
UACGGGGGGGGCUAGCGUUGUUCGGAAUUACUGGGCGUAAAGGGCGCGUAGGCGGUUCAUUAAGUUGGAUGUGAAAACUCUGGGCUUAACCCAGAGCCUGCAUUCAAAACUGAUGGGCUGGAGUUCUGGAGGGGAUAGCGGAAUUCCUGGUGUAGCGGUGAAAUGCGUAGAUAUCAGGAGGAACACCGGUGGCGAAGGCGGCUAUCUGGACAGAAACUGACGCUGAGGAGCGAAAGCGUGGGGAGCGAACAGG